rnacentral:misc_RNA from 1 species
CGACCCUCAAGCGCAAGCUUGGUGUUGGGGAUCGCCCCUGAAAUACGGUGGUGGCCCUUGAAUCCAUCGGCGGUGCCGGUGCAGCCUGGAGCGCAGCAGCAAUGCAGCUUCCUAGGGCGGCCCGAAACCAGCCGGAUAACCCCAUUUUUAAACUUUAA